rnacentral:rRNA from 1 species
ACGCCUUAUACAUGCAAGUCGAACGAAGUAGAAAUACUUAGUGGCAGACGGGUGAGUAACAUGUAGGUAUCUUCCCUUUGGUGAGGAAUAACACGAGGAAACUUGUGCUAAUACCUCAUAAGUCUUUACGGAGAAAGCUUUAUGCGCCGAAGGAUGAGCCUGCACUUGAUUAGUUUGUUGGUGGGGUAAUGGCCUACCAAGACUUUGAUCUAUAGCUGAUCUGAGAGGAUGAUCAGCCACAUUGGGACUGAGACACGGCCCAAACUCCUACGGGAGGCAGCAGUAGGGAAUAUUGCACAAUGGAGGAAACUCUGAUGCAGCGAUGCCGCGUGAGUGAAGAAGGCCUUUGGGUUGUAAAGCUCUUUCGUCGGGGAAGAAAAUGACUGUACCCGAAUAAGAAGGUCCGGCUAACUUCGUGCCAGCAGCCGCGGUAAUACGAAGGGACCUAGCGUAGUUCGGAAUUACUGGGCUUAAAGAGUUCGUAGGUGGUUAAAAAAGUUGGUGGUGAAAUCCCAGAGCUUAACUCUGGAACUGCCAUCAAAACUUUUUAGCUAGAGUAUGAUAGAGGAAAGCAGAAUUUCUAGUGUAGAGGUGAAAUUCGUAGAUAUUAGAAAGAAUACCAAUUGCGAAGGCAGCUUUCUGGAUCAUUACUGACGCUGAGGAACGAAAGCAUGGGUAGCGAAGAGGAUUAGAUACCCUCGUAGUCCAUGCCGUAAACGAUGUGUGUUAGACGUUGGAAAUUUAUUUUCAGUGUCGCAGCGAAAGCAUUAAACACACCGCCUGGGGAGUACGAC